AUACGGAGGGUGCAAGCGUUACUCGGAAUCACUGGGCGUAAAGCGCGCGCAGGCGGCCUGAUAAGUUGGAUGUGAAAGCCUACGGCUCAACCGUAGAACUGCAUCCAAAACUGUCAGGCUAGAGGGUGGGAGAGGAAGAUGGAAUUAGUUGUGUAGGGGUAAAAUCCGUAGAGAUAACUAGGAAUACCAAAAGCGAAGGCAAUCUUCUGGAACACUACUGACGCUGAGGCGCGAAGGCGUGGGGAGCAAACAGGAUUAGAAACCCUAGUAGUCC
rnacentral:rRNA from 1 species